GAAGCGCAGCUUUUUCCCUAACAUUUUGCUCCCCUUCAUUCUUUUCUCUCUCGCAUUACACUCCGGCCAGCAUUUUUAACUCCGGCCAGCAUUUUUCACUCUGCCCUAACAUACACGUACCGCUUCACGUAAUUCUCCUCCAGAAUUCAUCACCGGCCAACAUCACCACCGGCCAGCAUCAACACCGGCUUCUCAGUCACUCUUCGUCGGCCGUUCUUCGCAGUCAAUCUUUGCCGGUCGUUCGUCGCAGCAGCAGCCCGAGUCUAGCUGCGUCCUCCUCAGCGUCAUCUUCACGGGCGACGAGGUCACUGCGGCUCCAGUUGUAGUCGUUCAAUCUAGAAAAAUUCGAUGAGUACUUUGAUUCUGCUGAAAUUAUAUAAAUUUCGUUUUUUUUUCGACUUUUUGUUGAUAUAUGCUAAAUUGGUUGAUUCUUUUGUUGUUUUUAGGAAAGAGAGGCGCAGAAGAUUCAAUUGAGAAGGCUAUGAGCGCGAAGAAGCAGUAGAUAUUAAAGAAUGAGGAUGUGAUAGCUCAGCAGAAGGCGGUGAAGAAGAAGAAGCCUAAGAAGAAAGUAGCAGCAGUGACUCUGAUGAAGAUGAUACGGAGUAUUGAUUUAGACUCUGAGGAAGAGCUAAGGUCAAGUUACUCUUUUAUUUUAUUUUAAUGUAUAUUUGAACUUUUAGUAUUCCCUUGUUAUAAGAUCGUAUGAUAAUUGAUAAGUAAUUAAGUUGGAUUGCAGCAGUACUGUAGUCGCAAAUUAAGAAAAUUUCAAUUUCAAUUCCAACUGUUAAUUUGUGGAUUUACAUACAGGACAAGCUUUUGGAUCAAACUAGUGUUUCGCAUCUUUUCAAAAUCACGAAAUUCCUAGGGCUGCUCGCCACUGGAAUGACAGAAUCAGUCUCUGCUGGAUUGUUGCUGAUAUAUGCAGGAACAGAACAAAGAAACUUCAUGAAUAAGUCAACAAAAGUUUGUGUCAAGGGCGUUCGGUUGAGAGGACAUGCAACAUGAUAAAAGAUGUGAGGCUCUGUUGUGAACCAGGUCAAAAGCCUACAGGCAGUUCAGGAGUGGCACCUGAUGCACUGAUAAAGAUGUUGCUUUCAAAGUACGCAAACCUAGGACACCUAGAGAAGCUAGCUUGUGAGACCCCACACAUCUACGUGCAGAAGAUUGAGUUUGCUUGCAACUAUUUUGCUACAGAUUCUGCCUGAACUAAGGAAAAAGGAUGUUAUGGCCGAAAUGGUUAUUCAUUGUUUGCCCCAUAGGAACCCACACAUAGGUCUGAAGCAACGAUUUCAUGAUAUACAUACGGACAGUGGCCUUCCUAAUCACUACAAUUAUGGUACUCCAGAUGGUAGGUGGAGGUAUGACAUGGAGAUUAUGACCACUAUUCUAGAGAUGGCGGAAGACUGUUUUGAUUAUGGAAAGAUGGUUGAAAGUAUCCACAACACAGAGUUUAGUAGUGAUACGGAAACCCAGAUGGAUGAGGAUAGUGAUGAUGAUGUUGUUGAGAUUGAAAACUUUAAUCCUAUCAUUCUUGAACCUACUAUUGAGAUCUCUAGCGACACUGAAGUUGAGCCUGAGACUAAUGAUGAAGUGAACAGUGAGUUAAAACAGAAUAAUGAGGAUAUGGAAUAUGAAUCUGAUCCGGAGGAAGACUUGGAUGACUUUGACGAUCCUAAUGACCAAGACUUUACCCAGAGCACUACAAAGAGAGAAUUGAUCGUCGAGAUGACUCUAGUAUUUAAAGACUUUUCUAAUGUAAUUGUUAGUGCUUAUUUUAGGAUGUAUUAUUUUCUCAUUGAAGUAAUAAAAGUUUAGAGUUUUUUCUUUUACCUCUAAUUCUAAGUUUUACGUUUUCUUUGAGCUAUUAUCGCAAAAGAAUUUCAUGUAUUUCUUCAAUGAAAUCGUACUUGCAAGGUGGUUCAAUUCUUCACCACUUAAACGUUGUGACGCAGAUUAAAGCGAGAAUUCGCCCAAUAGUAGGCGCCAAUCUUGCCUCAAGGGUCCGAAAUUUUGGUGCAUGCUUGUGCUAAUAGUGUGACUUGUUAGUGCAAUGCUUUAGCAAGGCAGUGUUCAAACCCGGUUGUUAAAGUUAGUAUUUUGUUUUAUUCAGGAAAAGGGACAUGACUGCCCAAGGGAUUGCCGAGGUGGUUAGGCAACUAGCUGAAGUAGUGCAGAACUUAGCACAGAAUAGAAAUGAUCAGGGACUUGAUCUAGUUGGUGAAAUGUUUAAGAAGGUGGCCCAGAGUAAGCCUCCUUUGUAUCAAGGGGAAGUAGACUCAACUGUACUUGAGAACUGGCUAAGAGAGUUCGAUAAGCUUAUCCUAGUUGUGAAUUGCCCAAAAAACCUUAGGGUUAAUAGUGCUGUGUAUUACCUUAGGGGAGAAGCUGAUUUGUGGUGGCAAAGGUGUGAGAAUGCUUUAAGAGCUACACCUGGAUUUGGAUGGGAAUCAUUCAAAGUUGCCUUUAGAAACAAGUUUUAUCCACCAUAUCUGAAAAAGCAGAAAGCCCAAGAGUUCAUCGAGUUAAGGAUGGAGGGGAUGUCUGUGUUAGGUUAUGACAAAUAUAAAACAUAUAUUUCAUGCGGAAAAACCAUAAAGCCAGGAAUCCAAAUUAAUGGCCACAUAGUCAAUUAGCAUAAUUCAGGGUACAUACAUGUGACGCGUGCCUUCCCUAGCUGCUCCCGAACCGAACAAGAAAAAGUUUAGGACUCCAAAUGUCGUCCCUCCGUAGAUAGUCCACAACACGUUCGGAUCCGCCUUUGAUUCGAUUAACUAGAAUAUUAUCUAAGGUUUUAUGUUACUCGAAAACUUAAUUAUAUUGGAAAAUUAUUAAGUUAGUUUAAACUUAAACUAUAUGAAUACUUGUGAUUGUUAUGUAUAAAUUGUGAUUAUAUAUCACCUAUUUAUAGGGAGGAAAUAUCGGACUUAGAUUUCCACUAGGAUUCAAUUUACUAAUUCGAUUAGAAUUCUAGCUAAAUUAAUCCAUUGGAUUUUAGUGUUUAAUCAAACAACUAACUCUUGUGGAAUUAGGAAAACAAUUAAUCAGAUAAUCCUAAGCGACUAAGGAUUUGUAGCGUUGCACGAACACACACACACACACGCAGCCCACGAGGGGCGCGCUGUGCGCGGCUCGGCCCAGCAGUAUGCUGCUGGCAUGCCUUGCUUUGCUCGGCUGGGCCUGGCCUUGCUCCGUGCUCGGCUGGGCUCGCUGCUGCUGCUUGCUUGCUGCGCGGGCUUCGCUAGGGGCGGGACUGGAUUCACGCUGGGCCUUGCGUCUAGCAAGCUCGUCCGCUAUUUAUUUCGUACGUCGCGCUUCCGAUUCGUUUUCCGAUUCCGGAAUUCAUUUCCGAUUCGAACAAUAUUUAAUAUUUCCGAUUCUGGAAUUUAUUUUUGUUUCGAACAAAUAUUUAAUAUUUCUGAUUCCGAUAAUAUUUCCGAUUCCGGCAAUAUUUUCGUUUCCGGCAAUAUUUCCGAUUCCGACAAUAUUUCGAUUUCCAAUAAUAUUUUCCGAUACGUACCAUGUUUCCGUUUCCGGCAAUAUCUACGACUUGGAUAAUGUUUAUAUUUCCGUUACGAUCCAUAUUUCCGUUUCUGGCAAUAUCAUCGUUUCCGGAGUAUUCAUAUUUUGCCUUUUGACGAUUUCAGCUCCCACUUGAACCGAGAUCCGUCAAUUCCGAAUAUUCAUAAAUGGAGUAUUUAAUCCACUUAAAUACUUGAUCCGUUCACGUAUUAUUUGUGUGACCCUACGGGUUCAGUCAAGAGUAAGCUGUGGAUUAAUAUUAUUAAUUCCACUCGAAUUGAAGCGACCUCUAGCUAGGCAUUCAGCUCACUUGAUCUCACUGAAUUAUUAACUUGCAUAAUUAAUACUGAACCGCAUUUAUUAGACUUAGCAUUGAAUGCAUACUUGGACCAAGGGAAUUAUUUCCUCCAGUCUCCCACUUGUCCUUACGGACAAGUGUGCAUUGCCUAAUUCCUUUGUCGCUUGAUGUUUUCUCAUGAACAUAAGGUAAGAGUAGUCAUCCUUAUUAUGUCUAGAGGUAUUUCUCGAUUUCAGAGUUCAACUGAUCAAAUAAACAGAAAAUCAUAGCCUAUGAUUCAUUUGAGCACGACCAUGCAUUUUACAGUUUCUAACUCUCCGAGUGGCCUUGUACAACUUUCAACAUCUCAUCCCGAUUUUGUGAUCUUGAGAUUAGACUUCGUUUGAUAGGUGAUUACCCGAGCGUUGCCUUUAUUGCCUCCUUUUACGGUGCGAUGGUUGGUCAACGUCAAAGCAACCAGUUCUCAAACAAGUAAUCUCAAAUCACUCAGGUAUUGAGGAUUUAGUGUCUAAUAAUUUUAAUGAAAUUUACUUAUGACAGAUUUUCAUCUCUUACAGCAAAGUUUCAUAGGUCUUGUCCGAUACUAGUCUUCCCAAAGUAAGUAUCUAUGCAAAUGAUUGCGACAUUCCCAUGUCCGUAUAGUUCAAGAAACAGAACUACUAGUCAUCUUUCAUUCUAGUCGUCUAACAUUUUCUAUGCGUCCAUCUUUAUGGAAAACUCCGACCAGGGACCUUUUUCAACUUUUGACAUUCAAGUUCACUUGAUAGACAUUUCUUAGUCACAGGACUGGUCCUGACAGUCUAUCUUGAAUAUAUCGUCAAAUUGAAUGGAUUCAUCAUAUAAUAAACCACAAAUUAAAUGGAAAAUGAAUUCUAUACAUUUAUAUGAAUGGUUAACCAAUAACGUUUUACAAAGUAUUAAACUCUAAAACUUUAAAACAUUAAUUAAGGACAUCAAAGCCAUUCUCCAACAUGCUUGAUUCCCAUAGCUACAGUGUGCGAGUUGUGCUUCGCUUGCGGCAGAGGUUUAGUUAAUGGAUUUAAGAUGUUGUCGUCAGUUCCAAUCUUGCUUAUCUCGACUUCUUUUCUUUGAACGAACUCUCGUAGAAGGUGAAAUCUACGAAGUACAUGCUUGACCCUUUGGUGGUGUCUAGGCUCCUUUGCCUGUGCAAUAGCUCCGUUAUGUUAGGUUAUGAUACAUAUAAUUGAAUAUAAAUCAUGCGGAAAAACCAUAAAGCCAGGAAUCCAAAUUAAUUGCCACAUAACAAUUAGCAUAAUUUAGGACACAUACACUUUGUAGCGUGCCCUCCCUAGCUGCGCCCGAACCGAACAAGAACAAGUCUAGGACUCCAAAUGUCGUCCCUUCGUAGAUAGUCCACAGCACGUUCGGAUCCGCCUUAGAUUUAAUUAACUAGAAUUGCACCUAAGGUUCUAUGAAUAUGUUCGAAUAUUUUAGGCAAAUAUUAGACUUAGUUUUAAUCCUUAAAACUAGGUGAAUAAUUGAAAUUAUAUUGUCAUAAAUUUGUGAAGGCCAUCACAUAUUUAUAAAGUAGGAAUAAUGGACUUAGAAGUCUACUAGGAUUCAAGUAUUCUAAGUCUAUUAGAAUUAGAGUUUACUUGAAACUAGUAACCUAAGAAAUUAAUCUUUUAAUCUAAUCCUAAUCGCUUAAGGAUUCGAUUCAUGCACAAACUCCAACAUGCACACGAGCACGGCCCACAAGCGAGCAGGCCAUGCCCGCGCGCGCGAGAAGCCCGCAGCAGGCUUGCAGCCCACACGCAGCCUCGCAUUCCGCGUUGCUCACAACCCGCGUUGCUCGCAGCCUUGCUCACAGCCCAAGGUCGCGCUGGGCCUGGCCUUGCGUUGGGCCUUGCGUGCCUUUGGCUUGAUGCAUUGCUCGUGCCUUGCGCACUGGGCUUGCUAGGCGUGGGCCUGACUUCGUGCUGGGCCUUCGUCUAGCAAGCUCGUCCGAUGCUGAUUUCGUACGACGCGCUUCCGAUUAAUUUUCCGAUUCCGGAAUUCAUUUCCGAUUCGAACAAUAUUUAAUAUUUCCGAUUCCGGAAUUAAUUUCCGUUUCAAACAAAUAUUUAAUAUUUCCGAUUCCGGAAUUAUUUUUCGAUUCCUAUAAUAUUUCCGAUUUUGACAAUAUUUCCGUUUCCGGCAAUAUUUCCGAUUCCGGCAAUAUUUCCAUUUCCUAUAAUAUUUUCCGAUACGUACCAUGUUUCCAUUUCCGGCAACAUCUACGACUUGGAUAAUAUUUAUAUUUUCGAUACGAUCCAUAUUUCCGUUUCCGGCAAUAUCAUCGUUUCCGGAGUAUCCAUAAUUUGCCUUUUGACGAUUUCAGCUCCCACUAGAACUGAGAUCCGUCGAUUCCGAAUAUUCAUAAAUGGAGUAUUUAAUUCCAUUAAAUACUUGAUCCGUUCACGUACUAUUUGUGUGACCCUACGGGUUCAGUCAAGAGUAAGUUGUAGAUUAAUAUUAUUAAUUCCACUUGAACUGAAACGACCUCUAGCUAGGCAUACAGUUCAAUUGAUCUCACUGAAUUAUUAACUUGUAUAAUUAAUAGUGAACCGCAUUUAUUAGACUUAGCAUUAAAUGCAUACUUGGACCAAGGGCAUUAUUUCCUUCAGUCUCCCACUUGUCCUUAGGGACAAGUGUGCAUUUUCUAAUUCCUUUAUCGCUCGAUGCUUGCUCUUGAACAUAAGGUAAGAGUUGUCAUCCUUAUUAUGUCCAGAGGUGUUUCUCGGUUUCAGAGUUCAACUGAUCAAAUAAACAGAUAAUCAUAGCCUAUGAUUCAUCUGAGCACGGCCAUGCAUUUUACGGUUUCCAGCUCUCCGAGUGGCCUUGUACCACUUUCACCAUCUCAUCCCGAUUUAUGGGAGGACAAUCCCAAUCUUGUGAUCUUGAUAUUAGACUUCGUUUGUUAGGUGAUUACCCGAGGGUUGCCUUUAUAGGCUCUUUUUACGGUGCGACGGUUGACAACGUCAAAGCAACCAGUUCUCAAACAAGUAAUCUCAAAUCACUCAGGUAUUGAGGAUUAGUGUUUAAUAAUGUAAUGAAAUUUACUUAAGACAGAUUUUCAACUCUUAUAGUAAAUUUUCAUAGGUUUGUCCGAUACCAGUCUUCUCAAAGUAAGUAUCUAUGCAAAUGAUUGCGACAUUGCCAUGUCCACAUAGUUCAAGAAACAGAACUAUUAGUCAUCUUGCAUUCUAGUAGUCUAACGUUUUCUAUGCGUCCAUCUUUAUAGAAAACUCCGACCAGGGACCAUCUUUUGACAUUCAAGUUCACUUGAUAGACAUUUCUUAGUCACAGGACUGGUCCUGACAGUCUAUCUUGAAGGCACUCAUCAUUUAAUAAACCACAAAUUAAAUGGAAAAAUGAAUUCUUUUCAUUAAUGUGAAUGGUUAACCAAUAACGUUUUACCAAGUAUUAAACUCUAAAACUUUAAAACAUUAAAUAAGGACAUCAAAGCCAUUCUCCAACAUGCUUGAUUCCCAUAGCUGCAGUGUUUGAGUUGUGCUUCGCCUGCGGUAGAGGUUUAGUUAAUGGAUCCGAGAUGUUGUCAUCAGUUCCAAUCUUUCUUAUCUCGACUUCUUUUCUUUCAACGAACUCUCGUAGAAGGUGAAAUCUACGAAGUACAUGCUUGACUCUCUGGUGGUGUCUAGGCUCCUUUGCCUGUGCAAUAGCUCCAUUAUUAUCACAAUACAGAGCUAUUGGUCCUUUAAUGGACGGGACUACACCAAGUUCACCUAUGAACUUCCUUAGCCAAAUAGCUUCCUUUGCUGCUUCAUGUGCAGCCAUGUACUCCGCUUCAGUUGUAGAAUCCGCAAUGGUGCUUUGUUUAGCACUUUUCCAGCUUACUGCACCUCCGUUGAGGCAGAAGACAAACCCAGACUGUGAUCUGUAAUAAUCUUUGUCGGUUUGGAAACUUGCGUCCGUAUAGCCUUUAACAAUUAAUUCAUCAUCUCCACCAUAGACCAGGAAAUCAUCUUUGUGCCUUUUCAGGUACUUCAGAAUAUUCUUGGCAGCAGUCCAAUGUGCCUCUCAUGGGUCUGACUGGUAUCUGCUCGUAGCACUGAGUGCGUAUGCAACAUCCAGGCGUGUACAUAUCAUAGCAUAAAUUAUUGAACCAAUUAAUGAUGCAUAUGGAAUCCCACUCAUUCGUCUACGCUCAUCUAGUAUUUUUGGGCACUGAGUCUUGCUUAGAGUCAUUCUAUGAGACAUGGGUAGGUAGCCUCGCUUGGAGUCUUCCAUAUUGAACCUUUCAAGCACCUUAUUGAUAUAAGUGUUUUGACUGAGACCAAUCAUCCUUUUAGAUCUAUCUCUGUAAAUCAUGAUGCCCAGUCUGUACUGUGCUUCUCCUAGAUCCUUCAUCGAAAAACAUUUCCCAAGCCAAAUCUUGACUAAGUUCAACAUAGGAAUGUCAUUUCCGAUAAGUAAUAUGUCGUCGACAUAUAAUACUAGAAAAGCAAUUUUGCUCCCACUGACCUUCUUGUAUACACAAGAUUCGUCUACGUUCUUGAUGAAACCAAAGUCACUGACUGCUUCAUCAAAACGUAUAUCCCAGCUCCUUGAUGCUUGCUUCAAUCCAUAGAUUGAUUUCUUAAGCUUGCAUACCUUUUUAGCAUUCUUUGGAUCCUCAAAACCCUCAGGCUGUGUCACAAACAAUGUUUAUGUUAAAACGCCGUUUAAGAAAGAGGUUUUGACAUCCAUCUGCCAUAUUUCGUAAUCGUAAUAUGCAGCGAUUGCUAACAUUAUCCGAAUAGACUUUAGCAUUGCAACUGGUGAAAAGGUUUCAUCGUAAUGCGAAUGCUAUUCUAAGAAUGGAAAGCCUAACCAAGGUAACCACCAGAACAAUAAUCGGAAUAAUCAGAACCGAAAUGGGGGAAAUGGAGGUGGAAACCAAAGGAAUUGCCAAGGUGGUAACAAUGGUAACAAGAAUGGCAAUCACCAGAACCAUGGAAAGCCUGGAGGAAACCAACAGCAGAAUGGGAACCGAAACAACAAUGGAAACACCAAUAGAGGUGGCUAUAACAAAGGAGUUGCCCAAGGGAAGCUGAAUGUAAUAUCUAGGCAAGAAGCGGAAACUUCCUCUGACGUCAUAGCGGUUACUUUUUCUAUUAAUUCCGUUUUAGUUAAAGUUCUAUUUGUUUCUGGUGCGACAUUCUUUUAUAUCAGUAGAUGCUUUGGGGAAAUUAGGGUUGAAAGAGCCUGAAACAAUUGAAGUACCUAUAGUCAUACCUACUGGUAGCAAAGUGAAGUGUACCAAAAUCCAUAGAGAUGUGCCUUUGACCAUAGCCAAGACCGUGUUCUUAUCUAACCUAAUCGAGUUUGAGUUAGGAUAGCUAGAUGUAAUUCUAGGAAUGGACUGGUUGGCCAUGUUCAAAGCCAAAAUAGAUUGUGAGAAGCAUUAGGUUCACUUGAGGUCUAGUCUAGGCAAAGUAGUGUCAUAUCGUCGUUUUGGUAAGCCUAAUAACAUAGGAUUAUCACGGCAAUGAAACUCGUGAAGCUAGUCGGUAAAGGGAACCCAGCCUUCUUAUGCAAUGUGAGAAACCUAGAGCAUGUCACUACUACAAAAAUAGGAUAAGAAACCAUUAAUAAGUAACCAUUUAAGUCAAUAAAUAGGUUUCUUAGGUAAAGAAACCACGUAAUAUACAAAUAUGGUUUCUUAGAAAAUGAAUAAGAUACCAAUUGCUUUAAAAAUAUGGUUUCUUAGAUAUCUAUUAAUUUGAAAUGAAGCAAAGAAACCAUAUUUUUGUUAAAAUUGGUUUGUUAUAUUUUUCGGGUAAAGAAACAAUAUGGGGUAAAUAAAGUGGUUUUUUUUCUUUAAAGUCCAAUAUAUUUCAUUUAACUCCCAUCCCACCCACUACUUCUUAUAAACCUAGUAUUCUAUUACUGUUAAAAGCCUCCUCCGCCACUUCUAUUUCCCCUUUCUUAAACUCCCCUUAUCUUUCAUCUCAUCAUUCUUUACAUGAUUCCUCUUAUUUAUCUAUUAUCCCACUCUCUUAAUUUCAGUUCAAAAGAAAAACACCAUCUAUAUAUAAACCAUACAAUAAUUUCCAUAAAAAAACAUAUACUCAUUUAUGAGUAAUAGCAUUAUAAGAUAAUUGUUCAUGCUUGGAUCAACGACUACGGCAACGGUUUAGAAUUGGCCGAAAUGCAGCAAGAGACGUAAACUCCAGAAGAUGAAAAUUAUUCCAUUAUCAAGGAUUUCAAGGAUUUUGGAAAAUGUAAUUUUAUAAUUUAGUAAUUUGGAUUUGGACUGCUAUAAAUGUGGUUGUAGUUGAUUGAUUAACCAGUGUAAUAUUGGAUCUUUAUGUCUAAUGGAGUAAAUUUUAUCAUAUUCA